rnacentral:rRNA from 1 species
UCCAGCAGCCAUAUCGCCCUGCAGCAAGACUGGCCGCCCACUGAAGCUAAGCAGGGUUGAGCCUGGUCAGUACCUGGAUGGGAGACCUCCUGGGAAAACUAUGUUGCUGCUGGAA